CAGCCAGUAGCGUGAAGGUUGCACUUACACCUAUUAUCAAAAGGCAAAAAUAAAAAAAGUGGGAUAUUAUUUAAAGGAAGGUUGCACUAGGAACUGGGCAAUCUGUCCCAGGGACCUCAUCAGAGUGUAUGUAUGGAGAACCUCAGAGACUUCUGCAAAGAAGAGAAAUGCCUGUUUUGCUUGAGGGACAGACUCCUCUGGAUUAAUGAAAGAGGUAAAUGUGCGUAGCCGGGCUGAGAGAUGACUAGAGUACAAUAAACAACUACUUCUAUUUGCGGGAUAAGCAGUAAGGAAAAUCGAAAUAUUUAAGAUUACAGAAAGAAGACUAUUUAGGUAAAAGUAUCAUCCAGAUGGACCAUGUAAGAACCACUUUUGUGAUGAGAUAUAUUGGACUGUAACAGUGUGAAAACAAAGCAGCAGAGCCUGGACCUCGGGCAUUGCAGGUAACUGUGAAGCAGCCAAGCACCACUGAUCUGGUAGCUGACGGGCUCCCAGCUGAUCACCAUCAGGAUGUGGACAACAGCUUCCUAUGGAAGACUGUUCAAGGUCAGAGUCCUCCAUCUGUCUUGUAUCUUUUUAAAGGAAGAUUCCCUUUCUUUUCUACUCCAGAGGUAAGGAAAUAUUUUGUUACCUUAUGUGAAUAUCCAUGAUGAUAAAUCAUUACCGAAAAUCCUAGGUACCAUUUGUAAUUUCUUUAAAUGCUUGCUUUGAAAGGCUGUUCCUAGCCGUUCCUGCUUUAAAUCUGAGAUGAUAACAAAACACUUAAUUAGAUUUACAUACAAAAAUUUUAAACACAAAAUUUUGUAUAGCCCUUGUAGAUGCUUCCAUUAGAAGAAUGUGGUCACUUUGGCUGCAUGUGUAAGAACAGAGAAGUUCUGAAAACCUAAAAAACUGCUUCCACAUCCUCUGUACUGAGUUCCAGGUGACAAUUUUUCAUGCCUAUAUGGCUUCUUGAAAUCGAAAGAAAAAAGUCAAAGUGCUUCACAAGGUAUUAUGUACACAUGCCCAGAAAUGCAAUUACUGGGCAGCAGCUGUUUGGCACGUCAAGUGGGUUUGCAUGUAUACUGAGAAGGGAUGAUUGAGGGAGCUGUAAUAAGUAGAGCAGGUUUGAGAGUACAGGUUAAGGUAUGGCAAAUGUAAGAGGAUGUAUGCUGCAGCCUUUGCACUACACCAGCAAACAGCCUAAGGGCAAAAUCCCAUGUAGGGAUAAAGCAAAUGUUAAGGGCAAAGUGCAGUUCCGAGAUAACAGUAUAUGCUCACCGUAAAUGGCACCACAGAGGUCUAAUGCUUUGUAUGUCUUUACAAAGAAAGUCUGAAGUCUGUGAUUAUAAAUAUCAACAACUCCACGAGCAUUUAGGUUACGUACAGGGAGAUGCAGGCCUUGGAACAGCUUUCUGCCUGCAGAGAACAGCUGUCUGCCUGUUAUAGCUGGUGACAGUUUUCCGAACUUUUUGUUGCUGAUCAUUGUGGGAACGGCUCUGCCAGCGCUGAGCUUGUGGAAGUGAACACUUGUGUCACCCCAACACUUGUCCGCAUUUGGAAACUUCCGUCCUGAUGUUCCCACAGCUCAGCUGAUAUCCAUCUUCCCAGUGCAACCUGCCAGGACUCUUCCUGCUAAGCAGCCUGGUUACAGCACACGCAAGAACACAUUUCCCUCCAAUGUGCAAAUUCAAUUUUGAAUCGCUGGAGAUUGAUAUUGCUGUCCAACGCUAUAAACUCUAAUUGUGUGGGAGAACGAAUUUGUUUUUCUGACCACUCAUCUUUGACAGACUCAUUAUUUUGUCAUAAAGCAACUGAGCCGACAUCCUUGGCAGCUGCGCGAGGCGCAGGGAGCGCUCCGGCACGCUGAAGGAGCAGUGCUGCCGUAGGGGGAGCGGGAGCCCCCCCCACGCUGCGUUCCUCGCAGACUAUUUACAUACAGACAACUGACAUUAAAACGCUGUAAAUAUCACUAAGGUAAUUGUUAAUAGCGUGCUGAUGCUCUUGGGUGUGAGUGCCAACCAACAGACUGGGGGGCACAUGAGGGGAUCAUUUACGUUGAAGAGAUGGUUCAUAAGACAGACAGACAAGAGAAGCUCCUUGAUACAUUUUUAACGACUAGCCAUAUGUUCCCUGCUCAAAUACAUCUUUGGAUCAUUCUAGGUCAUCACCAAAGUUUAGAAACUUAAAACCAACUUGUAAGCCCCCCUGCACAGACUCUUUGCUUUCACACGCCGGGAGUCAGUGCUCUGCUCCCAGGUAAGCAAAGCCUGAACUUGCAGAGGAGUUGGUGUGUUUGCUCUUCGCAUUACUGCCCACACAACGUGGUGCACAUACAACACAAAAUACCAUCCCUGCACAGUUUUAAUUAGGCAUUUUAAAAUGCUGUUAGCAAUGUUAGGAGCCUUAGUCAGCUCUCCAGUGCUAGCAACUGCUUCUAGCACCUUGUUACAGUUGUCCUAAAGGACUUGGCUGUGUUCAGCGUGACAUCAAACGUGUUAAGGCUGUCACCUACGUUACGGCUCUCAAGCUUACUAAUGACCUUGAGGCAGCUCCACCAGUGAGAUCUAGUUUUCUAAUAUAAUGUAGACAAAGAUGAAAAUUCCACAUUGCAAAUACAUUUUAAGUGAUACCUCAGCCAUGCAGGAAGAAGAGAUUGUAGGUUGAGAAACUGAAAAUAUAAGCACCUUUAAAACAUACCAUGAAAUCUUUGGGAUAAAACCAGCUCUGGUUCUGAAUCGCUCAUUUUUGAGGUGUAACUUUCUUCUUUUUUCUUUUUUCCUUUUUUUUUUUUUUUUUGACACUUUAUGAGACAAAGUCAUUAUAACUUGAGAAACUGUACAGGUAAGUGACAGAACUCUCACACCUUUGCAUGUACAAGGUGUGAACAUCACAAAAAUAUUUAGAUAAGUCUGGUUUUCCUUUAAAUUUCUCUCACAAGUGGAACAUCUUUUCAUAGAGGCUCACAGUCUCGGAAACAUCACGUCUGCUGAAUAUUAUUAUUCAUUAUAUCAUAGGAUUUUUUCCACAUCAUGUCAAAAAAACAAAGCAUGCUGGUCCUUAUCCUAAUUUCCAAAGCGUAAUAGAUGUCUACACAGCUUUGCUAUCGAAGAUUUUGUGGGGAUGAAAACAAGUAAAAAGGACACUGUUGUGAAGAAACAAAAUGAUUGCUGGCCAAUUUAUUUCUGCAAGGAUGGAACAGACAGCGAGAACACACACAUAAAAGAGGUCCAAGACCUUGAACAAGCAUGGGAUGGAAACUGGGAGUCAGUGGAGGCUAAGGAGCCCAGGCGUGAUGUGCUUUUAGGGACACGACUGCUGAGAAGGCUGACAUCUUGCUCCUUGCUCCUCAUCCACACAGAAGCCACCGCCCAGGAAUCGUUACUGCAGCUGCUCUGAAGGGCACCUUUUUACACAGGUGUUACUUGAAUUUGAGGACUCUGAAUCACAUCUCUCCCUCUGCGGCGUUGCUGUCAUUACCAGAAAGGAAGAAGCAGCAGGCAGGAUGCUGCCAGCGCCAGCGUCCCAGCCACUGCCUGCACCGGGUCCUGACGUGCCUCUGCGUGAUGCUGCUCGCAAGGGCUAAGGAGAACGUGCGUCCUACGAGGGCAGGUUAAUUGAUCUCUUUCUGAAAAAUCAUGACGCUGAACUUUAAGGACAAUUGUAAGGCAUGAGGCAGCUGUAUUCUUUUCUGGAGUGUGUUGCAAUGUAUGCAUGAUUAAACUAUCAAAGUUGAGGGUGCAUAAUGAACAGUUCAGAGCAAACAAAGCUGACUAAAUAUUUCAAAAGUGGCUUUGUUCUGGUGUUUUCUUGUGUUUUAGCAUGGUUGAUUUUCAAAAUGCUUAGGCUUCACAGAUCUAACUAAAAAACUUGGGAAUUGUCUGCUUCUUAUUACCAAAACAGGCACUCAACAUCUGCUUUAAAAUAUGUAAUCUUUCUCUUUUUUUCCUUUUUCUCUUUUAGUUUUUAUCUCGAUUGGAGGUCAUAAUUUGAAAGUGAAAAGUGAAAAAUCUGAAUAGAACAUUUCUUAUUGUUUAUCAUGCUAGCCUCUAUUUUUUAACUUUUAAAUUCCAUACAAUAUCAGCUCCUUGUCACAGAGUAAUUCCCUCUGGAAUGAUUAUGAUAAGAACUGUUUGCCAGUAGAGCUGUGCGAAUAAUUGAUUUUUCAGUUCACUGACUGAACUGAAAAAAACUUUGGGGGGUGGGGGGAAAUAAUUUGUGUCAAAUGAAAUGUGUAGUUUUAUUUUCAGGUUUCAAAUCCCUUUUUUGAAAUUAUUUUGGACAAUUUUUUCAACAAAAAUAUUUCCAAAGGAAAAAUCAUGCCUUUUUUGAGUUUUCAAAAAAAAUUAGUCAAAGUAUUUAUUAAUGUGGGUUGAAUUCUGAAGAUACUUUUAGCUAUCCCUGACAGAAGUUUCUUCUGUGAAUAAUGUAUAGUUCAAAAAUACUAAUCCUUUCUCCUGCUGAAGAAAACUAGAUGAAAAGUGAGAAGUUUGUGUCUGUGCAUAACAUUUGAAGUAUGCCAAAAGCAACUUAGCAUCCUAUAGCUAAAUUACUGGGAAAAAAGCUAUUGGGUCAUCUUAUCACUAGCCCUGUUGGUAUAACUACAUAGCACAAAGAAAUUAUUUGCUGAGACUAAUUUUAAAUAGUUCAGGAAAUAAAGUUCUAACUAUCUUUUAAAGCUCGAAAAAAAUCUUUCUCCUACUGUAUUUCAGUUGCUGACUUUGUGUAGAGAAAGCUUUUUUGCUUUUUCAAAAAUACUAUAUGACUACUGUUUAAUUAUAUACACUACUUACUGUUUUCUUGAAGCCAUUAAACUGGCUAGAUUCUGCAAACAUUUUACUGUUUUAUUAAAGUCAGUGGAAUUAUACAAAGGUGGGAAAAUUACAAAUGCUC